rnacentral:rRNA from 1 species
CAAGCCUGAUCUAGCGAUGCCGCGUGAGUGAUGAAUGCCUUAGGGUCGUAAAGCUCUUUCGCCUGUGAAGAUAAUGACGGUAGCAGGUAAAGAAACCCCGGCUAACUCCGUGCCAGCAGCCGCGGUAAUACGGAGGGGGUUAGCGUUGUUCGGAAUUACUGGGCGUAAAGCGCACGUAGGCGGACUAGUCAGUCAGAGGUGAAAUCCCAGGGCUCAACCCUGGAACUGCCUUUGAUACUGCUAGUCUUGAGUUCGAGAGAGGUAAGUGGAAUUCCGAGUGUAGAGGUGAAAUUCGUAGAUAUUCGGAGGAACACCAGUGGCGAAGGCGGCUUACUGGCUCGAUACUGACGCUGAGGUGCGAAAGUGUGGGGAGCAAACAGGAUUAGAUACCCUGGUAGUCCACACCGUAAACGAUGAAUGCCAGACGUCGGGUAGCAUGCUAUUCGGUGUCACGCCUAACGGAUUAAGCAUUCCGCCUGGGGAGUACGGUCGCAAGAUUA